CUCAGAUUGAACGCUGGCGGCAGGCCUAACACAUGCAAGUCGAGCGGCAGCACGGGUACUUGUACCUGGUGGCGAGCGGCGGACGGGUGAGUAAUGCCUAGGAAUCUGCCUGGUAGUGGGGGAUAACGCUCGGAAACGGACGCUAAUACCGCAUACGUCCUACGGGAGAAAGCAGGGGACCUUCGGGCCUUGCGCUAUCAGAUGAGCCUAGGUCGGAUUAGCUAGUUGGUGGGGUAAUGGCUCACCAAGGCGACGAUCCGUAACUGGUCUGAGAGGAUGAUCAGUCACACUGGAACUGAGACACGGUCCAGACUCCUACGGGAGGCAGCAGUGGGGAAUAUUGGACAAUGGGCGAAAGCCUGAUCCAGCCAUGCCGCGUGUGUGAAGAAGGUCUUCGGAUUGUAAAGCACUUUAAGUUGGGAGGAAGGGCAGUUACCUAAUACGUAUCUGUUUUGACGUUACCGACAGAAUAAGCACCGGCUAACUCUGUGCCAGCAGCCGCGGUAAUACAGAGGGUGCAAGCGUUAAUCGGAAUUACUGGGCGUAAAGCGCGCGUAGGUGGUUUGUUAAGUUGAAUGUGAAAUCCCCGGGCUCAACCUGGGAACUGCAUGCAAAACUGGCAAGCUAGAGUAUGGUAGAGGGUGGUGGAAUUUCCUGUGUAGCGGUGAAAUGCGUAGAUAUAGGAAGGAACACCA
rnacentral:rRNA from 1 species